UACGGAGGGAGCUAGCGUUGUUCGGAAUUACUGGGCGUAAGGCGCGCGUAGGCGGCUUUGUAAGUUAGAGGUGAAAGCCCGGAGCUCAACUCCGGAACUGCCUUUAAGACUGCAUCGCUUGAAUCCAGGAGAGGUGAGUGGAAUUCCGAGUGUAGAGGUGAAAUUCGUAGAUAUUCGGAAGAACACCAGUGGCGAAGGCGGCUCACUGGACUGGUAUUGACGCUGAGGUGCGAAAGCGUGGGGAGCAAACAGG
rnacentral:rRNA from 1 species